rnacentral:rRNA from 1 species
UACAGGGGUCUCAAGCGUUGUUCGGAUUCAUUGGGCGUAAAGGGUGCGUAGGCGGCGCGGUAAGUCGGGUGUGAAAUCUCGGAGCUUAACUCCGAAACUGCAUUCGAUACUGCCGUGCUUGAGGACUGGAGAGGAGACUGGAAUUUACGGUGUAGCGGUGAAAUGCGCAGAUAUCAGGAAGAACACCCGUGGCGAAGGCGGCUCUCUGGGACGGUACUGACGCUGAGACGCGAAAGCGUGGGGAGCGAACAGG